UACGAGGGGGGCAAGCGUUGUUCGGAAUUAUUGGGCGUAAAGGGCGCGUAGGCGGUGCGGUAAGUCUGAUGUGAAAUCUCCGGGCUCAACUCGGAGUCUGCAUCAGAAACUGCCGUGCUCGAGUGUGGGAGAGGUGAGUGGAAUUCCCGGUGUAGCGGUGAAAUGCGUAGAUAUUGCUCGGAAGGCCAACGGCGAAGGCAGGUUACUGGUACGCAACUGACGCUGAGGCACGAAAGCGUGGGGAGCAAACAGG
rnacentral:rRNA from 1 species